GAAGCAGCCACAGACGAGAACAAGCGCAAAAACCGCAAGCAGGGAAUUGAGGGUAACUGAUGAUAAAAUCAGAGGGCACAUAAUAAAACAACUCUCCAUCCCCCAUCCUAUGUCAGGGUGGCCUUGGCGGCGGUUUUAGGUGACACGUGUGGCGAACCAGGAAACCACAUCUAUAGCAGGAGGGCCUACAUCAGCAUGCUCAUGGGAAAUAAGUUCGUAGGAAGUGGUCACCCAAGAAAAUCAAAACAUGAAG
rnacentral:lncRNA from 1 species